rnacentral:rRNA from 1 species
GAUGAACGCUGGCGGCGUGCCUAAUACAUGCAAGUCGAGCGAACAGACGAGGAGCUUGCUCCUCUGACGUUAGCGGCGGACGGGUGAGUAACACGUGGAUAACCUACCUAUAAGACUGGGAUACUUCGGGAAACCGGAGCUAAUACCGGAUAAUAUAUUGAACCGCAUGGUUCCAUAGUGAAAGACGGUUUUGCUGUCACUUAUAGAUGGAUCCGCGCCGCAUUAGCUAGUUGGUAAGGUAACGGCUUACCAAGGCAACGAUGCGUAGCCGACCUGAGAGGGUGAUCGGCCACACUGGAACUGAGACACGGUCCAGACUCCUACGGGAGGCAGCAGUAGGGAAUCUUCCGCAAUGGGCGAAAGCCUGACGGAGCAACGCCGCGUGAGUGAUGAAGGUCUUCGGAUCGUAAAACUCUGUUAUUAGGGAAGAACAAAUGUGUAAGUAACUAUGCACGUCUUGACGGUACCUAAUCAGAAAGCCACGGCUAACUACGUG